GAUGAACGCUGGCGGCGUGCCUAAUACAUGCAAGUCGAGCGAACAGACGAGGAGCUUGCUCCUCUGACGUUAGCGGCGGACGGGUGAGUAACACGUGGAUAACCUACCUAUAAGACUGGGAUAACUUCGGGAAACCGGAGCUAAUACCGGAUAAUAUAUUGAACCGCAUGGUUCAAUAGUGAAAGACGGUUUUGCUGUCACUUAUAGAUGGAUCCGCGCCGCAUUAGCUAGUUGGUAAGGUAACGGCUUACCAAGGCGACGAUGCGUAGCCGACCUGAGAGGGUGAUCGGCCACACUGGAACUGAGACACGGUCCAGACUCCUACGGGAGGCAGCAGUAGGGAAUCUUCCGCAAUGGGCGAAAGCUUGACGGAGCAACGCCGCGUGAGUGAUGAAGGUCUUCGGAUCGUAAAACUCUGUUAUUAGGGAAGAACAAAUGUGUAAGUAACUAUGCACGUCUUGACGGUACCUAAUCAGAAAGCCACGGCCAACUACGUG
rnacentral:rRNA from 1 species